rnacentral:rRNA from 1 species
GACAGAGGCCUCAAGCGUUAGGCGGAAUCACUGGGCUUAAAGCGUGUGUAGGCGGAUGCCUAAGUACCUUGUGAAAUCCCACGGCUCAACCGUGGAACUGCUUGGUAUACUGGGUGUCUUGAGCCAUCUAGGGGCUACCGGAACAAAUGGUGGAGCGGUGAAAUGCGUAGAUAUCAUUUGGAACGCCAAUGGUGAAAACAGGUAGCUGGGGAUGUGCUGACGCUGAGACACGAAAGCCAGGGGAGCAAACGGG